AUCGAACGCUGGCGGAAUGCUUUACACAUGCAAGUCGAACGGCAGCACGGACUUCGGUCUGGUGGCGAGUGGCGAACGGGUGAGUAAUGUAUCGGAACGUGCCCAGUCGUGGGGGAUAACGUAGUGAAAAUUACGCUAAUACCGCAUACGAUCUAUGGAUGAAAGCGGGGGAUCGCAAGACCUCGCGCGAUUGGAGCGGCCGAUAGCAGAUUAGGUAGUUGGUGGGGCAAAGGCCCACCAAGCCAACGAUCUGUAGCUGGUCGGAGAGGACGACCAGCCACACUGGAACUGAGACACGGUCCAGACUCAUACGGGAGGCAGCAGUGGGGAAUUUUGGACAAUGGGCGAAAGCCUGAUCCAGCCAUUCCGCGUGCAGGAUGAAGGCCCUCGGGUUGUAAACUGCUUUUGUACAGAACGAAAAGGUUUCUACUAAUACUAGGAGCUCAUGACGGUACUGUAAGAAUAAGCACCGGCUAACUACGUGCCAGCCGCCGCCGUAA
rnacentral:rRNA from 1 species